UACGGAGGGUGCAAACGUUGCUCGGAAUUAUUGGGCGUAAAGCGCACGUAGGCGGCCGAUUAAGUCGGGUGUGAAAGCCCAGGGCUCAACCCUGGAAGUGCACUCGAAACUGGACGGCUUGAAUAUGGAAGAGGGUUGCGGAAUUCCCGGUGUAGAGGUGAAAUUCGUAGAUAUCGGGAGGAACACCAGUGGCGAAGGCGGCAACCUGGGCCAAUAUUGACGCUGAGGUGCGAAAGCGUGGGGAGCAAACAGG
rnacentral:rRNA from 2 species